GACGAACGCUGGCGGCGUGCUUAACACAUGCAAGUCGAACGAAGUGGCGAACGGGUGAGUAAUACGAGAGUAACCUGUCCUCCUUUUUGGGAUAAGCCUUGGAAACGGGGUCUAAUACAGAAUCAAGGGGGAUGGGCUCGCGGCCUAUCAGGUUGUUGGUGGGGUGAUGGACUACCAAGGCGGUGACGGGUCGCCGGCCGACGAGGGUGACAGUGUAACUGGGGACCGAGCUACGUCCCACAGGCAUACAGGAGGGAGCAGUGGGGGAUAUUGCACAAAUGGCGAAAGCCUGAUGAUGCGACGCGGCGUGGGGGAUGACGGCUUUCGUGUUGUAAACCUCUUUCGCUAUCGAACGGGUAGGUGGAGAAGAAGAGCCGGCUAACUACGUGCCAGCAGCCGCGGUAAUUC
rnacentral:rRNA from 1 species